GACGAACGCUGGCGGCGUGCUUAACACAUGCAAGUCGAACGGUGAAGCGCCUUCCUUUUUGGUGGGUGUGGAUGAGUGGCGAACGGGUGAGCAACACGUGAGUAACCUGCCCCCUUCUUCUGGAUAACCGCAUGAAAGUGUGGCUAAUACGGGAUAUUCUGGGUCUGUCGCAUGAUGGGUCUGGGAAAGAUAUUGUUUCGGUGGGGGAUGGGCUCGCGGCCUAUCAGCUUGUUGGUGGGGUGAUGGCCUACCAAGGCGGUGACGGGUAGCCGGCCUGAGAGGGUGGACGGUCACACUGGGACUGAGACACGGCCCAGACUCCUACGGGAGGCAGCAGUGCGGAAUAUUGCACAAUGGGCGCAAGCCUGAUGCAGCGACGCCGCGUGAGGGAUGGAGGCCUUCGGGUUGUGAACCUCUUUCGCCAGUGAAGCAGGCCUGCCUCGUUUGUGGGUGGGUUGACGGUAGCUGGAUAAGAAGCGCCGGCUAACUACGUG
rnacentral:rRNA from 1 species